rnacentral:lncRNA from 1 species
UUUACAUAUACAGUGAAACCUGGGUAAACCGAACCCUGAUAAAACCGAAUUUCAGUUUAAACCGAACAAUUUUCAAAGUCCCACACAAUUUUUAUCAAUUUGCGUUAAUUUAACCUGAUAAUACCGAACCCUGUCAACACCGAAUUCCGAACGCUUUUUGAAGGCUCGUUAGUAAAUUUGUAUUUAAAAACUACCUGUCAAAAUCGGUCGAUAGCAAUCAAAACAAAAAAGUAUUUUUAAUUACUUGCAUGAUUUAAUUAAAUAAACACAGGAUGACCCCGAGGGUAUUUGAGGUUAAAUCAACUAAUGAGUUGUUAUUUCAAACUAAUUAGCAUGUUUGUGUCCAUGCAUUCAGUGAUCAAAUGAUUUUUUUGUGUGAAGAAACGUUAAACUGCCCCGAUCGCCGAAAAGGGCAAGAAAGGAACUUUCCCUGAGAUCAAUCAAGUGCACGUUACUCAACAAUCUCCGACGCAAAUAAUUACGGCCACAAAAUCGUAACUGCCAUUCUAUAGUUAAACUGUUUAAAUAGAUAAUAGUUUUAAAGCCAUUUACUGGAUUAAGAAGUCAUGCAACACAACAAUGUCAAUUGCUUUCGAAUCAUGUUUACGGGAUGUCGGAUUUCCUUUAGAAGCCCUAUAUAUAAUUCAGAUGCUCCUGUAGAUUUUCGUUAGCUAUUUAGCAACGAUAAAGUCCGAGAGUAAACCGGACACCUGCUGUUGUUUCACUCAUCUUGUGGCGAAGUAUCAAUCAGCGGGGACCAGUUUAGUCUGAGAACUCGUGUGUACAGAUAAUUGAAAAUGACGACCUCAAUUCAACUUCGGAAUUGUCAUUUGACAGAGACUUGGAAUCUGAAUUGGUCAGUAAAUUAAGCAAAAUCGAUCCAAUUCGGACAUCAUUGAACAAUUUAUAGUUUCACAACAACGGGCGUGUUUGACAGAGUGGCGUUUGAUUUAUAUAUAAAAAAAAAUGUAGCAAUACGUAUACGUCCAUCUUCAUCUACUUAUAUUUUUACAUUUACAUCAAAAUCAACACAAAAAUAAAAUUGUGGUCUGUUGUGUCACUUAUUAUCCCUUGUCAGUAAGGGCCAAACUUAUUUGAAUGUCGACUUCCGUUUACCUCUACAAUCCGAACACCUGUGAAAACCGAACAAAACGGAAAGUCCCGUGGGUGUUCGGUUUGGACAGGUUUCACUGU